UACGAAGGGGGUUAGCGUUGUUCGGAAUCACUGGGCGUAAAGCGCACGCAGGCGGCUUGAUAAGUCGGGGGUGAAAUCCCGGGGCUCAACCUCGGAAUUGCCUUCGAUACUGUCUGUCUUGAGUCCGGGAGAGGUGAGUGGAAUUCCUAGUGUAGAGGUGAAAUUCGUAGAUAUUAGGAAGAACACCAGUGGCGAAGGCGGCUCACUGGCCCGGUACUGACGCUCAUGUGCGAAAGCGUGGGGAGCAAACAGG
rnacentral:rRNA from 1 species